UACGUAGGGUGCAGGCGUUAAUCGGAAUUACUGGGCGUAAAGGGCGCGUAGGCGGCUAGAUGUGUCAAAGGUGAAAUCCCUCGGCUCAACUGAGGAACUGCCUUUGAAACUGUCUGGCUUGAGGCCGGGAGAGGGUAGCGGAAUUCCCAGUGUAGCGGUGAAAUGCGUAGAUAUUGGGAGGAACACCAGUGGCGAAGGCGGCUACCUGGACCGGUUCUGACGCUGAGGCGCGAAAGCGUGGGUAGCAAACAGG
rnacentral:rRNA from 1 species